rnacentral:lncRNA from 1 species
CAUAGAUUGAUCUUGAUAAAAAAUAUAAUCAUGGAAAUCCCCUUGUUAAAAUCCUAUAUCUAAUUUUCAUUGCUUAAAUUUGUCUUGUUUAGCACUCAGUGGCUCUUUUAAAGAAGAAACAUCUUUCUUCCAAGCUAAGAAACUCUCAAUUAUCAUUUAUUUACUUACUUUUGCAAAGACAAGGUCUCACUAUGUUACCCAAGCUGGUCUCCCACUCCAGGCCUCAAGCAACCCUCCCACCUGAGUCUCCCAAAGUGCUGGGAUUACUGGUGUGAGCCACCAUGCUUGGCCCAGUCAUGCAUUUAAAUAUUGCUUCCUUUUGUUAUUGUUAAGCUUUCCAGGUAGAAUUUCUCUUAGAUGCUAGAACUUCUAUGUCUAUUCCUCUUCAUUUCUUCAUACCUUUUUUUAUUGUUAUUAUUUUACCUACUUGUGUUGCAUUUAAGAGAUUUCUAGGUUGAAUCUUCUGUCUGUAGAACAGUGGUUUAGUAAGUGUGCUUGGAGUCAGUUGUCUUGGGUCAAGUCCAGUGUCUGCCACUUACUAGCCAUGUGGCUCUGAAUAAGUUUUAUAAAGGAGCUGUAGUUCAAUUUCCCAAUCUGUUUUUUGUUCCCAGGUUCUCAUUUCUUCAGCCUUUUCUGUCUAUAAAGCCAAACUCUUCUGCUCAGCUCAUCGAAACACUCAUUCUGUUUUAUAGAGCAAGAUGUUGCUCAGUGCUAGAAUCACAAAUAAAAGCCAAUUAGAUCUUUAAAGAUGUGGUAAUUUUGUGUUUUGUCAGUUUUUG